rnacentral:rRNA from 3 species
ACUCCUACGGGAGGCAGCAGUGGGGAAUAUUGCACAAUGGGCGAAAGCCUGAUGCAGCGACGCCGCGUGAGGGAUGACGGCCUUCGGGUUGUAAACCUCUUUCAGUAGGGAAGAAGCGAAAGUGACGGUACCUGCAGAAGAAGCGCCGGCUAACUACGUGCCAGCAGCCGCGGUAAU